rnacentral:lncRNA from 1 species
CAUGCAAAGAAAUAUCAUUAGGGCCUUAUUUUAGGGCAUCUUGAUAAGCUUGUUUUAGAGAAAUUAGGAUUUUUUUGGAAAAAUCCCAUAUUUAAAGAGGCUUGUUCAUCACACAUUUGGAGAUCAAUGUUUUGUCCUCACUUCAACUCUUAUUCAAUAGUAGGGAAGUGAUUUGCAACUCUUAAAAGUCUUGUAAGGAACUAUUUGAUUUAUGGUGAUUAGGUUCACAUUGUAUCAAUUUGUUGCCAAAGUGAUUGAGUUUGGGUUGGUUUCUUGACUUUGAAACAUAAGAUUUAGGUUUCUAGGUUGAAGAUGAGAUGGAAAUUCUUUGUGCAAGUAUGACCUACAGAUCUGUUUGCUAUUGACAUUUUUCCAAAAUUAUCAUCAAUUUCUUUGAUAUUCCAGUAUUGGCAAUCCCAUUAUCUUCAGGAACUCUGUUGGUUGUUGUUUAGCCGGCUCUGAAUUUGUAUAGACACAAGUUAGUUGUCAUUGCCUGAGUUUCAUAGGACAUUAUUUAUUUUUAUUUUACUUUUCUUGGAUUUUUUUAGUGCAGUGUGUACAAUGCACAUUGCUAAAGGGUAAUGCAGCUAUUGAGUUCUUCAGCAACAGAGCCAGUACAGGUAUGUGUUUUCACAAGAUUAAGACCUUGUUGCCAUGAGUGUACUUGUGUACCUUCUGGGAUUAUGUACAUGAUUCAUAUCCUAAGUACCUAAAUAUUAUGCAGAAGAAUUUAGACGCCCGUUGGAUGUAGACCCCUGGAGUGUUAUCUGUCUACUGAGCUGUUGCACUGAUGUAGCCUGGAUGGGGUGCCAUCCAGUGUGGGCUCCUUGAAGUAGGGCAAUGGAUUCUUGCUGGUCCCUGCAUGGGAUUGAUGCCCACAUGUGGUACCUCCUUGUGUGUGUCAUAAAUUCCUCCAUGAUGAGUGAGAGAGAGAUCCCCUUUAUUCACUCUAUAAAAGAGUGGUACAACAACCACUGAAGUCUGAAGUUGUAGAGUUUUUCAUGAAAUGAGGACAUCCUUUUGGUGGUAGUGGACACAAGCCUCAUUUCUAUGCAUGAUUUGAUGGGAUCUGAUCCUGUAACUGCUAAAAUGAUCAAUUGGAACUCUAUGUGGAUGUUUCUCCAUACUUGACCUCAGUGAGAAGAAGACCCACAGCUUAGCUGUUCUGAAUUUCCCAUUUAAGCUGCAUGCACUCAUAGUUGUGGACCCAGCUGUAGUUUCUUUUUCUUUUUCUUUUUGAGUCAGAAGAGAGCAUGAAUUCAGAGAAAUAAUUCUGCCAAUUCAGUUUAACUUACUUCACAUUCCUAUGCUUUUAUGACUCCCCCUCCCCAUACACACACUUACACCUCACAGUCCCAUUACAAAUGAGAAUAUUCUAUUUAAAAACUUUAAAAAAUAUUAACUACUGGCUCUUGUGACUUACAUGCUUGUGGGAUGAUGUCCUUAGGAUGAACAGUUCCAAGUCUGAUUUUGUCUGCAUUUGAAAAAGCUUCAACAAUUUGGCCCCCCCCCCAUGUAAACCUAUGAAGUGAACAAAAUGAAAGGGGGAUUGAGGAUGAUGAUGGUGAUGGAAUUGUUAUUAUUAUUAUUAUUAUUAUUUUAUUUCAUACAAAAAACAAAACAUGCUUGUUUCUGUUGUGCAUGUGUGCCUGUUUUGAGGUACUCUACUGUCUAGAUACAAAAUUUGGGGUCAAACUUCAGGUCUUUCAAGACCUUGCUUCUAAUAUUGUGGCAUUGUUGGAUUCCUCUGAAUAGUCUAACCACUUUUUUAGAAUAUUUAUCAAUAGACUAAUAGUUUUAAGACAUUAUCAUGCUUGGUAUUAUGAUUCACAGCAUAAUUUUACAACAAACGUGAUCUGAUUUUACUAAUAUGUUUUUGUACAGAAAUCUAUUAUAACUUUUACCAAAUUGUAUUAUUAUGCUUUAAAAAUAUUAACAUAUAUUACAUAUUACAUACUUUGAAUGUUUUCUUUGAUUCAAAAAGCAGUCACUCAUAAUUCUACCUGCAAUGUAAAAGCCACCUGUUUUUUGAACUGCAUCCCAUUAAGCCUCUCUUCAUUAUGUUGUAAAAUUUCACAAAUGAAUUAUAUGUGGAGUCCACUCCCAUAUUAAAGGAGAGAACAUUCUAUUGCAAAACAUUGGUUAAAUUAUCCCAUCACCAUGUUAACCUAAAUCUUCCAUUACUCAUUGUAUUUAAAAUUUAUGUUGCAUUUAAACAAAUAAAUAAAACACUAUUUUUUAAGAUUUGAUUAUGUGAGACAUUUAAUUAAAUAUAUGAAUAGAAACUUAAAGUUGCAUAUUGUAUGAGUAUUCAAACAUAUACAAUAUGGAAAGCAUGAAGAAAAGCACAACUUAUAUGUUUAUAGUUGAAUUGUUGUUGGAAACCUGGGAGUAAGUCUAAAUGUUCGAUAAAUUCUCAAAGUCUGUUUAUAAACUACAGUUUUUUUCUUCCACAAUGUCUAACAAAUAUUAGUGUUUUAUAAGUCAAACUUACAUAUUACACAAUGUUAUAAUUAAUUGCGAGAAUUGAAGCAAUGUUAAUAUGCACUGAUGUUUCUGGAAUAAGUUCAAAGUUUUGAAUAAUUUUAGAAAAGGUGCAAAACUAAACCAAAAGAUAUUGUGUAACUUCCUUGGAGUUAGUGUUGGUAAAAUAGACUGCAAAUCAUUAGGUCAAACUGGGUCAAAUUAUAAGCAGUUUUUCAGAAUAUCUGAUUAGAAUAUUUUGAAAUCUAAAAAACAAAUGGUGGGAGUCAUCAAAUGGAAUAUCAAAAUUUUAAUGUUGUUAAUUCAGUUACUAUCUUGUUAUUAUACAAACAUGAAAAGUAAGUAGUACCAUGUUUUCUAGAGGUAAAACUUCAAUUGAAAUGCUUCAAUAUCAUAUCUUGUGUCUUUUGUCAUGGAAGUCAUUAGAUGUGAUUGCAUAAUUACAAAUUAAUUUUAUUAUAAUUUUUUUUUAUGUAUGUGAGUGCAUUGUGCAUACAUGUAUACAUUCUACAGAUUAUUAGUAGAUAGUAAUCACAAUUUGUAUUAUCCUCACUCACAAAAUUUCAUUAAUUUAUUCCACAGGUGUUGCAAAAAAGUAGGUAAAAAGGGCAUCGAGGAGCCA